rnacentral:lncRNA from 1 species
UGGGCGGCACUAUCCCAACCCAGAUCCAGCCAGGUUCUAUUGAUCAUGUCCCCUUCCAAAUAGUUGUACCUUUUCUUGGGGCUUUUUAACUUCGAAAUUACAUCAAGUCAAAAUUGAGAACGUGUACUUGAGUAUUUGAAAUAUAAUAAGAAGAGGGAGUCAGCAGCAAUUCAAUAGCAGAAAUCAAAUACAGUCCAGAAGUUGAACUCGACAGUCUAGGAGAAAUUUAAAAUCAAACAUAAAUAGAAACUCGAACAACACACUUGAAUACCCUCAUAUUAGCUUGAACUUGGACCAGGAAUUACAAAAAACUUCAACUGGACCAGUAAACCCCUCUGAACCUCAAUAAUCUGACUCGAAGUUCAACUAAUAGAUCUCUGAACUUUCAGUAAUCAAUGAGAGAACUAGGAGAGGUGAAUUGAUGACUAGAACAUCAAAAUUAGCCUACAAUUUCCAAUGAAACAGUGACUUUUUUUAUUUUUGAAGUUUUUUGUUUUUUUUUUUUGUUUUUUGAAGUAUUAGAUCUAAGAUUUGGAUUUUGAAAUUCAAACCUGGAAUUAAGAUUUUGUAGAGAAUGAAUUUUGGGGGAAAUGUUUUGGGUCUAAAACUUGUGUAUUAAGGCAGGGGGCAUGCCUUUAUAUAAGCAUGAAAGGGGUGGAAAAGUUCUAGUAACUCACUCCCCCCAGAUAAAACCUCAAAUUUCCUCCUCAUCCCUCACAUGUGACUUCCCCCAGCCUUAUCUUCUAUAUUCCCUAUGUUUUUCUUCCCCAAACUACCAUUUUAGAUCUUAGAAAUCACUAAAUUGAAUCAGCCUUAUUAACCCUAACCUCUAAACUAACCAUGGUUAAAUCAGCAUUUCUGAAAGUCGAACAGCUAAAACCAAACAAAUUCUAAGAGUUGAACUAACAAGGAUAUUAAUUCUAAAGUCAGUACUUGACCAAGUAAAAUAACACAGAAAAUUGAAGUAAGCUAACAAUACUAAUCAUUCAAUUGAAAUCAAAACAAAAAGAAAAUUCAAGCAUAACAGAAUUAACGAAACAUCAAAACAGAACGGAAUAAAAAAAUAAGACUGAAUUAAUCACAACCCUAGACGAAUCCUCAUUCAAUACUAACUGUUAUAUUAAUCAAAUCGACCUUAACGAUACUUCAGUUAAGAGAACAAAGCAACAACAAAAACAAAAAAAAAUAAGAGAGGGAAGGGAAGUGCAGUGAUGGAACGCAACAGAGAAGAACGACGAGAUGAAGUAAACAAAACGGUAAUAGGGCAAAGAAAAGAAACGAGGUGAAUAACCUUAUAAAGAAAGAAAAUUGAUGACUUGAAUGAACUUCAGCAUCUUCGAUUAGAGUCGAAACAAAUAUUAACCGGGUGUUCAAAAUGAAAACACAUGGCCAAUACUAGUUUCGAGCCCUAUCGCUCAAAGGAAGCUGACAAAUUUGGUGAAUUUCUUCUUCUUCACUCUUAGACUCGAACAGACUGAUUUGGCGAGGUUUUGGCCAAAAAUGAUGAUGGAUUAGGGUUGAGGGAAGGAUGAUGAUCGUAUGGAUGAGAUCUGGGUGAUGGCUUGAGUUCCUUCGCCGGUAACAAUAGUGGACUUUACGGCCGCUAGGGAUUAACUAAAUGAAGAAGAAGAGAGAAAGAUGGGGUGUUUGGUUUGGUC